UGUACUGCAAAAGAAGCAGAACGGCUCUGUUUUGUACUUCAUUGUAGUACAUGUGGAAAAAUUGAAUUCGUACCGUUUAUACUUUUUUUUUUUCAUAAUAAAAUAAAAUAGUUCAUACAAAGUCAAAUAUACAACUUUUUUCAAAAUCAAAAUCUGAUUUUAAAAUAUUACUUACAAAUCAAACGCAGCAUUAAAAUCAGCAGCUGAAUCGUGCGGGAAUUAUUCUUGCUCGAGGAUUGGUUUCGCGGGUUGAGGGAGGAGAGAGAGAGAGAUUGAUCGGCUUCUCUCACUGUGAUUCAAGGAAGAUUGGGAAUAAUGGCAAUGGCAUUGAGCUGAGCUGAAUGAUCGAAUACCAGGCGACACAACGGAAUACCGACAUGCAUCUCUAGGAGAUGCAAAUGAUAGGAUGUGGGCAAAGCAGUCUCCCGGCAACAAUUCGAGACUCAUCGCUUAAUUAAUUCUGUAAUUCUAUGCCGAAUGCUAUUGGAUAUGUUUGAUAUUAUACCCCUUGCUAUCAUAUAAUUUGUUGAAAAGAACAAUUUGUAAACAUGCCAAUGGGUUGCUAAUAUAAGGAAGGAGGAUAGUGCCAGAGCGACA